rnacentral:lncRNA from 1 species
CCAAUGCUCACCAAGACAAAAAGGCCACGGGCACUCAGCCCCAGAAAGCUCUCGGGAAUGCUCCUACACUUCCUAGGGAAGGAGAAGGUAGCUCUGAGCAGUGGCCAUCAGCCUCAGGGAUUUUUCAGCACCUCUAAUUCUGACAAGCCUAGUGCUGGGUGCACUCUGCUUGGCUGACAUCACAGGGAUCACCCAUUCCCCAGGGCUGGGUCAUCAGAUCCUAUUGGGGCAUGUCAGGAGUCACAUGAGAUGGGAGAGGGAGUGAAAAACACCAAACCAAAGAACAUGAAAUAAUUUCUAAACAUUUUUAUUUCAAAUCUCUUUUCACCCCUCCCCAAAAAGACAUGGGUAGGUACAGCAAUCAUAAAAAGGAGAUACAAACACAAGAGUCAAAUGUCUCUCGCACUGACACUUACAAAAAACUGGGAAUUGUACAUGGGGUUUCCAAACAGGACCUGCAGCAGCUACUAACGUCCCUUUACGAGAGUCAAACAUGCCUAUUAAUACAGUAUAUACAGACACCCCAUUCUGGAACUAAUCUACAGGGACAUCCCUAACCCCACCCCCUCUAUCCCCAGAAAAAUACCAAAACACACCCAAAGUGCAUUUGUUUUGUUUAUAUCAAAACCUCUUUCCCUUUCCCCAUCCCACCCUCAGACCCCUCCCACCCCAUUUAAGAUUGGCCUGCAAGUCUAUUUUAACCAUUUAGUAUUUUUUUAUAGUUUAUGAAAAUAAAUUAUACAGCAACUAUUUUAAUAAAUUAAGCACAAAAGGAAGGGUAAAAGAGGAAAACUAAAUGGGAAGACAAAAGCCAGGCCACGCUUUGGCUUGGAGGAGGGCAGAGGGGGGGCUAACGGAGACAGAAGUGGUUGCAAGGGGUGGCUCCCUUUCUGGUGAAAAAUUGGCAACCACCCCGAGCCCAGAAUGACACCCCUCUUCAUCGAGUUUCUUAAAAACAACCAAAAACGUACAGCAGUGGCUAUGCCACAGGCAGCACCAGUGUGGGCAUUCCAACAGCCAGCUACCCAAAGUGGCACCUGGACCCUACCUGUCCCUUGGACAGGUUCUGGGCCUAAGAGUGAGGGACAGGUCCCCGCCCAAGGGAGCACCAGAGAUGGAGGAGUGAGAGCAGGCUUCUGCUCCACCUGAGCUGGUUAGGGAGCUCAGGACGAAACUCUGAGCGGGGCAGUGUGGUAUGUGAUGAUCCCAGAGUCUGAGGAAGAGUGUCCUAAGUUCCUCACACUCUAUCUCCAGGAGGAACUACGAUCGCAGUCCAGCUGCAACCAAACAUGCAUGUCUUCCCGCCGUGGCUGGCUGCUUUCUGUCUGCCCCUCCAGGCCUCUUGGUGUUGCAGAGGAGGGGGUAGGAGAGGGAAAGGGAACGGUUCCAGGUCACCUCUAAACCCUCUAGAAAUGAAAUGGGAAUGAAGCAGGUCACAAACUCAGCAUGCAGGGCUGGCUUCCCGGGAGGUAGAUGGGAGUGGGACGGGAUAGCAGGUGUGGAGAGGACAGGAAGGGAAACAGGAAGAAACUGAGCGACACCUGCCAGGAAGGUCAAGAAGCAAUGAAAAGGACAAAGACAAUAUGAAAUCUGCAUGAAAAGACAGGUCCUUUUCUGGCAGAUUAGAGAAUCAACAUUUUCAGUACAACUCAUAACGCUACUUUCCUAACUGCAGUACCCGAGUCCCCAGCGCCUGUCUCUAUGAUCCAACCCCCAUUUCACUGCUCCCAAGACUUUGCUCUCCAUUUUAUCAAGGCCUCCAAUCAUUUUGUGCUGAGUGUGAAGGCUCCAAUGUGAAAGCAGGGUCUACCACAGGGACGUGCAGACUUGACCUUUGUGACCCAAUCAUUUUAUAGCUAUCGCAGCAUAGGAGGGGGGCACACUUUUCUUUCUUUUUUUUUUCUUUUUCUUUUUUUAAUAAAAAAGGUUUUACUCCCCAGGAGCAAAUAAAUCAUUUUGAACUACUGAUAAACACUGCUGCAGUGAAAAGAAAGAUGGCUACAUGUAUGCAAUAGCACAAAUUCAGUGGAAGAACAGCUGUGUUGACGAUUAGAGAUAAAAAUCACUUAUCCAUUCCCUCCUUUCCCACAAACCAAACCGAGGAUUCCCAUAGGGAAAAUGUCUAACUCAAUAGCUCCUCCCUUACAUGACAGGGGGUGUGUCAUUCUCUUAACAGUGGAAAACAAAUGCCAGGUCUCCGCCCAGUGGAGAUGCUCUUAACACCCUAACUGGUAGCAAGACUUCUGCAAAUGAGGACACACACACACACACACAUGCAUGCAUAUGCACACACACAGACUCAGACCUCCUUCCAGCAGCCAUAGAGCUUUAUCCCAGUGUCUUGUCCACUAACUUUAGGGCUCCAAAGCUAAGGGAGCGAGGCAGCAGGGAAGGGAAAGAUCUAACUGAAGGAAAAAGCUCCUCCUCGCCCCAGUUUCUGCAGGGAGCAGAGGGCUUCAAGCAGGCCAUGCUUUCCUGGGGGCCCUGGGGUGAGGGCUGACACGGCUGGAUUCCAGGGCACUUCUGGUUCUACUCCCACCUCUCACCCCUAGACCUAGGAACUAUAAUUACCCCCACUCCCUAAUUCUUCCUGGAUGUCUGUUACAGGGGUGUCUGCAGCUAUCUCCACACCAUCCCCAACCUCAAGGGGGGCUUACAUCAUUAGCCCAAGUGAAAUGUAGGGAAGGGGAAGGAGCAGGAGCCAUGCAGGAGUUUCCUUUGGCCACACCUUUCUCCUCAGGGAGGUGGCGCCACCUCCAUGGCUCAGGUUCCAAGAUGUAACAUUCACUUGGCCUAGGCACAGGCAGGUGACCAGGCAAAGGUCAGCACCAAUGGUCCCAAAGAGCCGGUUGCCACCCACUUACCUAGUGCCCACACCAAAACCCCCGCCCGCCUACUCCUGUGCUACCAACAUAGCACACGAAUUUCAAGUAACAGCAAGUUGUAGCAGUAGUUGUCACUGGCUCACAGCAGCUCACUCUCAACCUGAGGAAGGUUACAGUAGAUCAGUCAUAAACAGGUGAGGGUUAUGCAGGCACUGAGGCCACUGAUAUCACCCACCCACAACUUAGGAAUCAACAGUGGGUCCCUAGAUGUAAGCCUUUUCCAAUUUGUGACUUGAAAAUACAACCAGAAAGAAAUUAUUUAUUUUUUUUGAGAUGGAGUCUCACUCUGUCGUCUAGGCUAGAGGGCAGUGGCGCAAUCUCGGCUCAGUGCAACCUCCGCCUCCUGGGUUCAAGCAAUUCUCCUGUCUCAGCCUCCCAAGUAGCUGGGACUACAGGCGCAUGCCACCAUGCCCAGCUAAUUUUUGUAUUUUAGUAGAGAUAGGGUUUCACUGUUUGGCCAAGCUGGUCUUGAACUCCCGACCUCAUGAUCCACCCACCUCAGCCUCCCAAAGUGCUGGGAUUACAGGCGUGAGCCACCGCGCCCAGACCUAGAAAGGAAUACAUUUAAAUGAGCUCUGCACAGCACUGGCGAAGGAGGGACGGGCCUGGUCAGGGAGGUGAAGGGCAGGUGCUGCCACACCUGCUCCUCUGCUCCAUUUACUCUCUGACCAGGCUGUAUCCCAGAGAGCUGGCCCAGCCCCAUGCCUCCCCCUCAUCUUCCCCUAACUGCUCUGUGCAAGGCCACCCAUGCAGGCACCAAACACCCACACCUGACGAAGACUGUCUCCUCUUGCGCUGCUGUUUUGCAGCCCACUCCACAGAGAAAGGACUAGGCUGCGGCCAGGGCUGGGACCAGUGCACUGACACAGACACAGUUCAACACGACACUCCCCAGGAGGAGAAAGGUGGGUGGUGAGGUUGGGUCACACCUCCUCAGUUGGUUUGUUUUGUACCUGAAUGUAUGAGUUCUCCAGAAGAAACCCCAGUAACACAGGGGGUGCAGAGGCUCUGCCUCCCUCACAUGGCCUGAGCUGACCAUAGUGAGGCCCUGGCAAUGGGCAGGAGCCUUGCUGACUCCUUUGGGCUUUGGGCUCCACCUCACCAUCAUAACCCCUUGGCACUCAGGUCUGCCUGGUGGCUGGGAAGCUUCCAUCUAGAAAACCGCACUGGAAAGGAUUCUUUAACCAUGUUGCUCUAACAGGGCUGUGCACUGUUCAGUACAUGCCAUGCAGAUUUCUGCUUCCUUGCUUUUGCUCAUGUGUUUUUCAUCUCACUGUCUGUCCUGCCAUUGACUACAACCCAAAGCCUCAGAGGCACAGAACUUUCCCAGACCAUCUGGUCUACCCUGAUCUUAUCUACUAUAAACGUCUUUAGAUAGUCCUUGAUUUUCUGCUUGAUGUGCAGCAGUCACCUAAAAGCUCCCUUAGGCCACAUAUUACGUCUUUUACCUUUUUUGUUUUCUACAAUAUCUAGCGCAAAGCCAGGCACACACACACUAAAAAAUAAUAUUAAAAUUAUGGGUGGUUGAAAAGGAACAAAAAAAAGAAAGAUCCCAGUCCUUUGCAAACCUCAAGCCCCUCCUCCCAUCUUCCAGGCCCACAGCACAGACUCUAACUCUGCCUUUGGCACCAGCUGAAUGGCCGUCCCCUGUUCCCUCCUCCCACCCCUUCUUUGGACCUGCUCACCCUUCGCACCACUUUCAAUCCAACGGGCACAAACCCCAACUGCCUUCAAGGUGAGUUUUCCAUACCAAGUAAUAUAAAUAUCAAAAACAAAACUUCUGAAAAAGAAACAGUGUUGAGACUUCUUCCAGUUUUCCAAGGAGCCCCUCCAGUCCUAAGAUGCCCAGGGGUGGGUGUGAGGUGGAG